AGAAUCCUUUGCUCGUCGUGGGA
rnacentral:miRNA from 1 species